UAUUUUUUUCCUUUUUUGGUAUUUUAUUUAAUUUUUUCUCUUAAUUUAUUUUUCAUUUAUUUUUAUUUUUAUUUUAAAAAAUUUUUAUAAAGUUCAAAAUUUUUUAUUUUUAUUUUUUGAAUCUUUUUUAUUUUUUUAUUUUCUUAUUUUUUUUGCUAUUUUUUCUACUUUGUAAUUUUUUAAUAACUUUUUCCCUUCACAAUUUUCCUUCUUUUUGCUUUUUUUUUUUCAUAUGCUUUCAUUUUUACUUGUUUUUAUUUUUCGUUGUUUUAAAAAUUUUUAUUUUUUGUUUUUUAUUCCAAAUCUUUUGUCUUUUCAUUUUUAUUCUUUUCUUGCUUUUCUUUUUUUUUUUUCACAAAUUUCCUUUCAUUUCUUAUUUGCGUUUUUAAAUUCUCAUACUUUUUUUUUAUUUUGCAUUAACUUUUCUCUUUUUUAAUUUUUUGGCUGACUUUUUAUAUUGUUAGGUCUUAUAUGUUUUUCAAUUUUUUGUAUUUUUUAAACUAAUUUUUUUUUCAUUUUGUCAUUCCAUUUCAUUUUUGAAUUUUUUAUUCAAUUUUUGUCCUUUUUUAUUUUCUUACUUUUUUCUUUUUUUGUGCUUUAUUUAUCUUUUUUCUUUUGCUCUAAUUUUUUUCUUAUUUUAUUUUUUAUUUUCUUUCUUUAUUUAUAGUUUCAUAAAUUUUUAUAAAGUUUUGGAAUUUUUUAUUUUUCUAUCUUUUUUUCUUUUAUCAUUCUUGGUUAUUUUCUAUUGCAUUUUUAUAAUUUUUCAUUAACUUUUUCUCCUUUUAAAUUUUUCUCCUUUUUUUUUUAUGUGCUUUCAUUUUUUUUUGUUCACUUUUUUCUUUGUUUUAAAAUUUUCUAUAAAUUUUUUUCUUUUUGUUUUCUUUCAUAUUUUUGCCUCUUCAUUUUUUAUUUUUUUCUUCUUUUUCAUUUUUUUUCUCAAAUUUUAUUUUAUAUAUUUUGUAUUUUCGUUUUUUAUUUUUUCUUGCUUUUUCUUAAAUUUUUUUGUUCACACUUUUUUUUAUUUCUUCUUUAUAUUUUAUAUUUUUUAUUAACUUUAAUUUUAUUUUUCAUCUUUCAUAUUUUAUAUCUUUUUCCUCUAUUUGUUAUUUUUUUUCUUUGUACAUUCUAAACUAAAAGUUUUUUCCAUUUUAUAUUUGAAAUUUUUAUUCAUUUUGUCUUUUUAUAUUUUUUUGAUUCGCUAAUUUUUUAUUUUCUUACUUUGUUACUUUUUGCUUUUGUUUAUUUUAUUUUUCCUUUUUUGGUAUUUUAUUUAAUUUUUUCUCUUAAUUUAUUUUUCAUUUAUUUUAUUUUUAUUUUAAAAUUUUUUAUAAAGUUUAAAAUUUUUUAUUUUUAUUUUUUGAAUCUUUUUUAUUUUUUAUUUCUUAUUUUUUUGCUAUUUUUUCUACUUUGUAAUUUUUUAAUAACUUUUUCCCUUCACAAUUUUCCUUCUUUUUGCUUUUUUUUUUUUCAUAUGCUUUCAUUUUUACUUGUUUUUAUUUUUUCGUUGUUUUAAAAAUUUUUAUUUUUCUGUUUUUUAUUCCAAAUCUUUUGUCUUUUCUUGCUUUUCUUUUUUUUUUUCACAAAUUUCCUUUCAUUUCUUAUUUGCGUUUUUAAAUUCUCAUACCUUUUUUUAUUUUGCAUUCACUUUUCUCUUUUUUAAUUUUUUGUCUUACUUUUUAUAUUGUUAGGUCUUAUAUGUUUUUCAAUUUUUUGUAUUUUUUAAACUAAUUUUUUAUUCAAUUUUUGUCCUUUUUUAUUUUCUUACUUUUUUCUUUUUUUGUGCUUUAUUUAUCUUUUUUCUUUUUUUAUUUUCUUUCUUUAUUUAUAGUUUCAUAAAUUUUUAUAAAGUUUUGGAAUUUUUUUUCUAUCUUUUUUUCUUUUAUCAUUCUUGGUUAUUUUCUAUUGCAUUUUUAUAAUUUUUCAUUAACUUUUUCUCUUUUCAAAUUUUUCUUCUUUUUUUUAUGUGCUUUCAUUUUUUUUGUUCACUUUUUUCUUUGUUUUAAAAUUUUCUAUAAAUUUUUUUCUUUUUGUUUUCUUUCAUAUUUUUGCCUCUUCAUUUUUUAUUUUUUUUUCUCAAAUUUUAUUUUAUAUAUUUUGUAUUUUUGUUUUUUAUUUUUUUCUUGCUUUUUCUUAAAUCUUUUUGUUCACACUUUUUUUUAUUUCUUCUUUAUAAUUUUAUAUUUUUUAUUAACUUUUAUUUUAUUUUUCAUCUUUCAUAUUUUAUAUCUUUUUCCUCUAUUUGUUAUUUUUUUUCUUUGUACAUUCUAAACUAAAAGUUUUUUCCAUUUUAUAUUUGAAAUUUUUAUUCAUUUUGUCUUUUUAUAUUUUUUUGAUUCGCUAAUUUUUUAUUUUCUUACUUUGUUACUUUUUGUUUUUGUUUAUUUUUAUUUUUUCCUUUUUUGGUAUUUUAUUUAAUUUUUUCUCUUAAUUUAUUUUUCAUUUAUUUUAAAAAAUUUUUAUAAAGUUCAAAAUUUUUUAUUUUUAUUUUCUUAUUUUUUUUGCUAUUUUUUCUACUUUGUAAUUUUUUAAUAACUUUUUCCCUUCACAAUUUUCCUUCUUUUUGCUUUUUUUUUUCAUAUGCUUUCAUUUUUACUUGUUUUUAUUUUUUCGUUGUUUUAAAAAUUUUUAUUUUUCUAUUUUUUAUUCCAAAUCUUUUGUCUUUUCUUGCUUUUCUUUUUUUUUUUCACAAAUUUCCUUUCAUUUCUUAUUUGCAUUUUUAAAUUCUCAUACUUUUUUUAUUUUGCAUUCACUUUUCUCUUUUUUAAUUUUUUGUCUGACUUUUUAUAUUGUUAGGUCUUAUAUGUUUUUCAAUUUUUUUGUAUUUUUUAAACUAAUUUUUUUUUCAUUUUGUCAUUCCAUUUCAUUUUUGAAUUUUUUAUUCAAUUUUUGUCCUUUUUUAAUUUCUUACUUUUUUCUUUUUUUGUGCUUUUUUUAUUUUCUUUCUUUAUUUAUAGUUUCAUAAUUUUUUUAUAAAGUUUUGGAAUUUUUUAUUUUUCUAUCUUUUUUUCUUUUAUCAUUCUUGGUUAUUUUCUAUUGCAUUUUUAUAAUUUUUCAUUAACUUUUUCUCCUUUCAAAUUUUUCUUCUUUUUUUUAUGUCCU
rnacentral:lncRNA from 1 species